rnacentral:rRNA from 1 species
CCUACGGGAGGCAGCAGUGAGGAAUAUUGGUCAAUGGGCGGGAGCCUGAACCAGCCAAGUCGCGUGAGGGAAGACGGUCCUACGGAUUGUAAACCUCUUUUGCCGGGGAGCAACGGGGUCCUUGCGAGGGCCCGAUGAGAGUACCCGGAGAAAAAGCAUCGGCUAAUUCCGUGCCAGCAGCCGCGGUAAUACGGAGGAUGCGAGCGUUAUCCGGAUUUAUUGGGUUUAAAGGGAGCGCAGACGGCUGUGCAAGUCUGGAGUGAAAGGCGGGGGCCCAACCCCCGGACUGCUCUGGAAACUGUAAAGCUGGAGUGCAGGAGAGGUAAGCGGAAUUCCUAGUGUAGCGGUGAAAUGCGUAGAUAUUAGGAGGAACACCAGUGGCGAAGGCGGCUUACUGGACUGCAACUGACGUUGAGGCUCGAAAGCGUGGGGAGCAAACAGGAUUAGAUACCCCGGUAGUC